AGAUUUAACAGGACAAUCUGAUAAAAUUUCAACCUUACGGAGAAGAUUAGCAUGGCCCUGCCCAAGAAUGACAUGAACAAAACAAUUUUUAGACUACUUU